AGAUCCACUUGUUUUGCGGAGAGGGCCUGUGUGUAAGUGAUGUCCGCAGACACCCCCUGUGGAUAAAGGGUAAUGUGAGUUUAGAUAUAGUGACAUGGAGGUGAAAAGGGAAGAGGUGAGAUUCUCUGCAGCGCUGAAGCAUGUGAGGUAAGGAGUGUUGUAUCACCCGAUGCAUGACUCUCUGGAUUGGCACCUCCUCGCGGGAGCACGCGAAUCAAAGAGUGACCGGUCCUAGCACAUUCGGCGCCCUAGGCAAGAUGUAUGAACAGCAUUCAUUGAAAAUGAAUUGGAAGCUGUCGCCUCGCGCAGUCCGAUCUGCUGUAGUGGACACGCACCGCAGAAGACUGCAGAUGCUGCCUGUUAAAAGGAAACUGAAAGUGAAUUGAAAAGGCGCUCCCUCUUUCAAUGCCUUGAUGCUAAGCCCUGGCGUUCGCCACUACAGCAGCAUCAGAGGACCAGCAUCACACGGAGCUGAUAGCAUCCUUAUUCUAGCUUACUCUUGUUGGCAAACGUAUUGUUAAUGUGGACUAAGAAGAUGGAUGUUGUCUCGAGUAGCACAGGACUCCUGCCUGUUUGAGAUUGUGGCAAGGGCACAGCUCUGUUUGGUCGUGCGUGCGUGCAUGCGUGGGUGAGUGAGCCUCCAGAGCAUGCAGACAGACGGUGAUAACGUCAAAUAAACAGACUGGGAGCGACUGUCCGACCCAAGCUGGAAAAAGCUGUGAAAGUUGCCAUAAUCAACUGCUGGAUAUAAAGAUGGACCGUUUAUGGUCUCUUUUUAAAAGAAAACAGCCAGAUGCAGAAGGAGAAACGGAGCGAGAGCAAGAUGGAACUGGUGAGAACAUUAACAAGCAGAAGACCAUAGUUCUGGCC